AAUUUCUUGUCCUCUGUCAUUUUCCUCUCCAGAACUCGAGGAAAACGACGACGUCUUCUGGUGUUGUAGUGACCUUGUAGAACUACGACCGUUGGGAACGAGGGCUCUGAAUCGUCGUCUACAACGCUGAAUGGUGUUGGGAUGCUGUGGCCUCGAAUUUCUUUAGUCGCAUGGGAACAGAACAGCCUUGUUAAGUUCUAAGCACUUUGGCUGCUUGUUUUAUUGCUAUUUUCUGAGGUGGAAAUCUGCUCGAAACGAGUACAUCUACUAGUCCGUACGAGACCCUUUGGUUAUUGGACUCUCUUUUUGAUCCGAGAAUACUAUCCCUCAGUGAUUUCAUUUA